GGACGAACGCUGGCGGCGUGCCUAAUACAUGCAAGUCGAACGGUCUUUCUAUGGAAGCUUGCUCCACUGAGAAGAUAGUGGCGAACGGGUGAGUAACACGUGGGUAACCUGCCCAUAAGAGGGGGGAUAACAUCCGGAAACGGGUGCUAAUACCGCAUAGUUUUCUUGAUCGCAUGAUCGGGAAAGGAAAGACGGCCUUUGUGCUGUCGCUUAUGGAUGGACCCGCGGCGUAUUAGUUAGUUGGUGAGGUAACGGCUCACCAAGACGAUGAUACGUAGCCGACCUGAGAGGGUGAUCGGCCACAUUGGGACUGAGACACGGCCCAAACUCCUACGGGAGGCAGCAGUAGGGAAUCUUCCGCAAUGGACGAAAGUCUGACGGAGCAACGCCGCGUGAGUGAAGAAAGGUUUUCGGAUCGUAAAACUCUGUUGUCAGAGAAGAACAAGUUGGAGAGUAACUGCUCCAGCCUUGACGGUAUCUGACCAGAAAGCCACGGCUAACUACGUGCCAGCAGCCGC
rnacentral:rRNA from 1 species